rnacentral:rRNA from 1 species
CCUACGGGAGGCAGCAGUGAGGAAUAUUGGUCAAUGGCCGCAGGGCUGAACCAGCCAAGUCGCGUGAGGGAUGACGGUCCUAUGGAUUGUAAACCUCUUUUGUCAGGGAGCAAAGGGCGCCACGUGUGGCGCUUUGCGAGUACCUGAAGAACAAGCAUCGGCUAACUCCGUGCCAGCAGCCGCGGUAAUACGGAGGAUGCGAGCGUUAUCCGGAUUUAUUGGGUUUAAAGGGUGCGCAGGCGGAAUGUCAAGUCAGCGGUAAAAUUUCGGGGCUCAACCCCGUCGUGCCGUUGAAACUGGCGUUCUUGAGUGAGCGAGAAGUAUGCGGAAUGCGUGGUGUAGCGGUGAAAUGCAUAGAUAUCACGCAGAACUCCGAUUGCGAAGGCAGCAUACCGGCGCUCAACUGACGCUCAUGCACGAAAGCGUGGGUAUCGAACAGGACUAGAUACCCCAGUAGUC